rfam:Gossypium raimondii Chr02_contig_769, whole genome shotgun sequence.
AAAUCAUGCAUCGGGCACUUUCUAGUUAACUCCUUGAAUCACUCCCAUGCUUCAUAUAAUGUUUCAUCCUCAAAUUGCCAAAAGGACAUAAUAUCGUUCCCCAGUUU